rnacentral:rRNA from 1 species
GAUCCUGGCUCAGGACGAACGCUGGCGGCGUGCCUAACACAUGCAAGUCGAACGGAGAUACAGGGGCUUGCCCCUGUAUUUUAGUGGCGGACGGGCGAGUAACGCGUGAGGAACCUGCCCUUCAGUGGGGAAUAACGGCUGGAAACGGUCGCUAAUACCGCAUGACACAUGAGUACCGCAUGGUACUGAUGUCAAAGGAGCAAUUCGCUGAAGGAUGGCCUUGCGUCCGAUUAG